rnacentral:tRNA from 1 species
CCUAAGGUAAGCUAACGUAAAGCUGUUGGGCCCAUAACCCAAAAAUGGUGCAAACCCCUAAGGA